rnacentral:tRNA from 1 species
UGCCCCAUUAGCUCAGUUGGUAGAGCAUCUGACUCUUAAUCAGGUGGCCGCAGGUUCGAACCCUACAUGGGGCAUAAU